rnacentral:rRNA from 1 species
CCCUCCCGUAGGGUGACCUGCGGAGGGAUCAUUACACAAAUAUGAAGGCGGGCUGGAACCUCUCGGGGUUACAGCCUUGCUGAAUUAUUCACCCUUGUCUUUUGCGUACUUCUUGUUUCCUUGGUGGGUUCGCCCACCACUAGGACAAACAUAAACCUUUUGUAAUUGCAAUCAGCGUCAGUAACAAAUUAAUAAUUACAACUUUCAACAACGGAUCUCUUGGUUCUGGCAUCGAUGAAGAACGCAGCGAAAUGCGAUAAGUAGUGUGAAUUGCAGAAUUCAGUGAAUCAUCGAAUCUUUGAACGCACAUUGCGCCCUUUGGUAUUCCAAAGGGCAUGCCUGUUCGAGCGUCAUUUGUACCCUCAAGCUUUGCUUGGUGUUGGGCGUCUUGUCUCUAGCUUUGCUGGAGACUCGCCUUAAAGUAAUUGGCAGCCGGCCUACUGGUUUCGGAGCGCAGCACAAGUCGCACUCUCUAUCAGCAAAGGUCUAGCAUCCAUUAAGCCUUUUGUCAACUUUGACCUCGGAUCAGGUAGGGUUUUCCCCCAAUU